CAGAUUCCACCUACAAGGGGAAUGCCAUUUUUUUUAAAGGUUGACCUCUUAUCAUUAUUAUUACUACAGGUAUUAAAAACUUUUAACAGUUACCUUUUUAAAAUGUUUCCUAAUUCUUCCAUUUCCAUUUAGAGAGAACACAAAAAUGAAAACGAUUUCGAACAAGUACCUCUGCAGGAAUUUCCAGCUCAAGUGAGGACCCCUCCAUCCAACAAUUGUCACCAGAAUGAAGAAGAGAAUGGAGAAGGACUGAAUGAAGAAGAGAAUGGAGAAGGACUGAAUGAAGAAGAGAAUGGAGAAGGACUGAAUGAAGAA